CUCCGCGUGGCGCAAUGGUAGCGCGUAUGACUUCUAAUCAUAAGGUUGCGAGUUCGAGCCUCGCCGUGGAGU
rnacentral:tRNA from 3 species